AUACGGAGGAUCCGAGCGUUAUCCGGAUUUAUUGGGUUUAAAGGGAGCGCAGGCGGAGAUGCAAGCGUGACGUCAAAUUUCGGGGCUCAACCCCGUCUCGCGUCGCGAACUGCGUCCCUUGGUUGCGGGAAGGGGAGGCGGAACUCGUGGUGUAGCGGUGAAAUGCAUAGAUAUCACGAAGAACUCCGAUCGCGAAGGCAGCCUUCCGGCCCGUCAACGACGCUCAGGCUCGAAGGUGCGGGUAUCAAACAGGAUUAGAUACCCUGGUAGUCCGCACAGUAAACGAUGGACACCCGCGGUUUGGCCUGUAUGGCUGAGCCGCCAAGCGAAAGCGUUAAGUGUCCCACCUGGGGAGUACGCCGGCAACGGUGAAACUCAAAGGAAUUGACGGGG
rnacentral:rRNA from 1 species